rnacentral:sRNA from 1 species
UGGCAAUGAUGGAAACUGAAGUCCUCUUUUUUUGUAUCCACAGGCUAGGUACAGUUCUGGGCAGCUCCAGUGUGAGCUUCUCCAUGCUGCCUCAUCAAUGACCUGGAGGGAGAUCCCUCUCAGAGGUUGUUCAGUCUCCAUCCUAGCUAAGCCCUGGUCCU